GACGGGGGGUGCAAGCGUUGUUCGGAAUCAUUGGGCGUAAAGCGUGUGCAGGUGGCUUUGCAAGUCAGAUGUGAAAGCCCCGGGCUUAACCCGGGAAGUGCAUUUGAAACUGCAAAACUUGAGUAUGGAAGAGGGUCGUGGAAUUCCUGGUGUAGUGGUGAAAUACGUAGAUAUCAGGAGGAACACCGGUGGCGAAGGCGGCGACCUGGUCCAAUACUGACACUCAUACACGAAAGCGUGGGGAUCAAACAGG
rnacentral:rRNA from 1 species